rnacentral:tRNA from 1 species
CAAGGAGUAGUUUAAAUAAAAAUUUUAAUUUUGGGGAUUAAAGAUGAAUUAGUGAUUUCUCUUUGA